GUGAGGAAUUUUCCGCAAUGGGCGAAAGCCUGACGGAGCAAUGCCACGUGAAGGAUGAAGGCCUAUGGGUUGUAAACUUCUUUUCUCAGAAAAGAAUUAUGACGGUAUCUGAGGAAUAAGCAUCGGCUAACUCUGUGCCAGCAGCCGCGGUAAGACAGAGGAUGCAAGCGUUAUCCGGAAUGAUUGGGCGUAAAGCGUCUGUAGGUUGUUUAAAAAGUAUUCUGUCAAAGAUUAGGGCUUAACCCUAGAUAGGCAGAAUAAACUUUUAAGCUAGAGUUUGGUAGAGGCAGAGGGAAUUCCCGGUGGAGCGGUGAAAUGCGUAGAUAUCGGGAGGAACACCAAAGGCGAAGGCACUCUGCUGGGCCAAUACUAACACUGAGAGACGAAAGCGAGGGGAGCAAAUGGGAUUAGAAACCCGAGUAGUCC
rnacentral:rRNA from 1 species